UACGGGGGGGGCAAGCGUUGUUCGGAAUUACUGGGCGUAAAGAGCUCGUAGGCGGUUUGUUGCGUCGAAUGUGAAAACCCGGGGCUCAACCCCGGGCCUGCAUUCGAUACGGGCAGACUAGAGUUCGGUAGGGGAGUCUGGAAUUCCUGGUGUAGCGGUGAAAUGCGCAGAUAUCAGGAGGAACACCGGUGGCGAAGGCGGGACUCUGGGCCGAUACUGACGCUGAGGAGCGAAAGCGUGGGGAGCAAACAGG
rnacentral:rRNA from 1 species